AAAGUUUUUACCUAAUAGUCUAUCUGUAUAUGGGAAGUAGUCUGACUGUGGAAAGUAGCAGAUAGAUAUAUUAAAACAGGUGAGGAUAAAUUAGGCUUGGUGAGAAGGCAGGGUAAUUCUAGGCAAACAGAAUAAUUGAACCUGUACAAUGCUGAAAGAAAUUAAUAUCAAAUGAUAAGUGAUUAGUCUAGAGUAGUGAGAUUUGAGACAUUAACGUUGAAAGUCCCAAAAGGAAUAUCCUAUGGGUGAAAUGUGAUGUCCGAUCAAAAGUCUUCUAUGGACGCGGUUCACAGGAUGGAAAAUACAUACUGAUUAUUUUUAAAGGAACACACACAUAGAGAGACAGAAUAAUAACUAGAAGUAACUAAGUAACGGUAAAUUACAAAUUUAUAGAACUGCACGCACAUAGAAUUUAAAAAUUAUAUAGAAAAGCACAGAGAAAGAGCAAGAACUGAUUAGAACAGUAUUGAGAAGGGUAAACAUGGAAAGGGCAUUGGUAGAGACUCAGACAGUGAAGGAAGAAAAUAGGUCGGGUAAGGAAAAAUAUCAGACACCUUCACCGAAUCAAAACCGAUCAGGACUACUUAGAAAACUCUCCGAUAUAGGAGAGAAAAAUAGACCACGGCCUGGGAGAGAUUUACAGUACUAUAGCAGGGAAGAAGACAGUGCAGAGAGAGAAGGGCAGUUUCCCCUGAUAGAGCUACCCAACCCCCAAGCUGGGAUAGACGACAACGAACCCACGGUUCGGGUCUAUCGACCCUGGACACAGAGGGACGUAGAAAUGGCAGUAGAAGGAAUUCCACACCCAAAAACAGGAAUGGCAGGUUUUGAAAGAGAUCUCAACGGACUAGCGUCCAGUUUCAGGCUAAACACAGGGGAGGUGCUCCCUACUAAAAAUAGCCUUUUUAACUGUAAUGCGCAUUGAAAUAAGCAAGGAAGUGAAAAAGAACCUAGUGGGGUGGGGGUUGGCAACUCUCGCAGAGGUGAAGAGAUAUGCAGUCCACCACAAACAGCAUGGACAGACGGAAAAAAGGAAAAAGGAGAAUAGGAGGGAUGAGUUUUUAAUGGCGGUAUUAGAAGAUAAAGCAACGGGAGGUGAACUACAGGUGAAGUCACUCAAUCCAGUCCCAUAGGCCUGUUGGGGGACCAUACCAAGGCCUCCUGGUGACAGCUAGCUGAAAGAGCUACCCGGAUUCAUAUCGCACUGCGGGAGGACAGGACAUGCU